UCCGCACUGCAUGUGGAUUGGUGUGUGUGUGUGUGGGAGGGAGUUAAAGAGCAGGCAUGGCGGAGACACGUAAGCCCAGCAUUUAGGAGGAAGAGUCGGGAGGAUUAGGAGCUCAAAAUCAUCUUUGGCUACAUACCUAGGACCUUCGUGAAGUACCCGCCGCAGGAGCUCCACAGAGACAGGCGCCUCAGCCAAAGCCUGCUGCAUCCGGGAGAACUUCCCACGCGAAUCAAUGGGCCCAAUGCAGGGAAAAAGAAGGUGGUGGUGGGGGAGAAGAGCCACCAAUCACUGAUCUUCCCAUAAAAACAAAACCAAAAACUACCAACCCCUGAGUAGGAGAACCCACCAAUCAUUAAGCUCCCCCAAGCCCAGGACUCGAAAUCCCACCAAUCCUCAAUGUGGAAAUCUCUGCUCUGAAAAGCACCACCCCCUGAGAAAUCCUAUAUAAGCUCUGCCCUUGGUCCAUUCCCCACUGUCCUUUCUGGGGAGCAGAGGGCAGCCAUCCCUGGAUUUGUCCCUCUGCACCCCUUCAAUAAAUCUCUUUUAUGGGA